GACGAACGCUGGCGGCGUGCCUAAUACAUGCAAGUUGAGCGAUGAAGAUUGGUGCUUGCACCAAUUUGAAGAGCAGCGAACGGGUGAGUAACGCGUGGGGAAUCUGCCUUUGAGCGGGGGACAACAUUUGGAAACGAAUGCUAAUACCGCAUAACAACUUUAAACAUAAGUUUUAAGUUUGAAAGAUGCAAUUGCAUCACUCAAAGAUGAUCCCGCGUUGUAUUAGCUAGUUGGUGAGGUAAAGGCUCACCAAGGCGAUGAUACAUAGCCGACCUGAGAGGGUGAUCGGCCGCAUUGGGACUGAGACACGGCCCAAACUCCUACGGGAGGCAGCAGUAGGGAAUCUUCGGCAAUGGACGAAAGUCUGACCGAGCAACGCCGCGUGAGUGAAGAAGGGUUUCGGAUCGUAAAACUCUGUUGGUAGAGAAGAACGUUGGUGAGAGUGGAAAGCUCAUCAAGUGACGGUAACUACCCAGAAAGGGACGGCUAACUACGUG
rnacentral:rRNA from 1 species